rnacentral:rRNA from 1 species
AAGCGCUCAUGACCAGACUUGGGCUUGGUUGAUCAUCCAGGGUUCUCCCUGGUGCACUCUUCCAGCCCAGGCCAGCAUCAGUUCGCUGUGGGGGAUAAAAGCUCUGGGAAUGUAGCUCUCUUCGGGGAGUGUUAUAGCCCACUGCAGAAUACUCCUGGCGCGGACCGAGGACCGCGCCUUGUGCAAGGAUGCUGGCGUAAUGAUCGUCAGCG